UUCAGGUAUUUCAAGAAAAAAUGUGGCACCUCAUCAUUAAAGUCUCUGUCUUCAAAUGGCUUUUAUACUCUCAAAACCAUUUACAAUAUAAAUUCUGUAAACAAUUUUCUCCAAAAUCAUGGGUCAAUUGAAAUUUUUUAAAGUACAGUUUGCAUGUCAAUAGUUACAUAUAAAUGAAAGACAACAAUGGGCAGAUGAAAUUUUUCUAAAUUCAAUUUUUGGUUUUUAAAGCUAGAAACACCACUUGUAGAGAAGAGAAUGGCAUCCCCUAUGAUAGAACCACUCAAGUAAAAUGUGAGGGGUGGAGAUAAAGUUCCCUUGGGACUACAUUUUCCAAGUUAUAUUUGAUCUUCUGUAAACAACAACAACAGCAACAAGAAAAUGGUACUUUUUACAACCAUUCUCUCAUUUAAUUCUUGCCUACCCCCUUGAGGCAGUUAUUUGUUAUUCUUACUUUACAGAUGAGGAAACUGAUCAUUAAACAACAUCUGCAUUUUCCCAAAAUCACAUUGCUAAUAAAAUCCUUGUGGUUUUGCAGUUACACCACCUGUAUAUUUACUUAUAUUCUGCCAAAAUGACCUACUGACAUUCCUUGCCAUACACUUCUAUAUUUUUGUACUCCACUUUAUUCCACAAAGUUGAGGAAGAUAAUUGAAAAUCUUGGAGGAAAGAAAUUCCUGUAACAUAUUCCAUUUUUCCUCUAUUCAGUGCUUUCUGGAAACAUCUAUUCAACAGAGUGGGGGAUUGUUGUAGAAAUAUGGAAUUCACGGUGACUCAAUUUGUUCUCGUCUUUUGCUAUUCCCAAAUAGGAUUUCAGAUAAAGAGCAACUAUUCAAGGCUAACAAAAGGGAAGAGCUGGCCAAGCUGAUUUCUUAAUUCUACAUAAUGACAAAGCAGUGGUAGAACGUGUUAAUUAAGUCAAAAGUAUUAAUAAAAUCUGUCUUCCACAGACUUUUCUUAAAGAAUGCGUCUACCCUUGAGCCACCCACUGUCCUGAGCAGACUUUUGCAUUUACUCUCUGAACAUUCCUUCAAGAAAUGCAGUCUGCCUAGAGAUUCUGAAGUUGUCUUUAUACCUACAGAAAGCUCUGCAUCACUUAAGACCAAGAGAACAACUUGAACUCCACCCACCAGACUGCUGAAGUUACUCUAUGCUGACCUGGCAAAAACAAGGUAAAAGGCAGAGCCCUUGCAGCCUACUUAAACAAUUUCUGUAUAAGUGACAGGAGGGGCCAACCCAACACUUUGGCCUUAUCAGCCCCCGCAGAUGCUGCUCUGUGUCCCUUCUGCCAGUUCUGGCUCAGUGAGGUGUCUCCCAGUCCCACUGACUGGCGGUUGCCAUAACGACAUUGCGCACACGAGGGAGGCCUGGCGGAGCAGUGGUGGGGCCAGGUGGAGAGGAGGAGGUAGAACAGACAGCUGAGCCACACAGCAUCCCAGCCAGGAUGACACGGAGGCAGGUGACCAUAGGAAGUGAGGCAGAGGAGGAUGGGGAAGAAGCUGCAGCCCAGAACCAUGAUUGCAAAUGAGCAGAGUCUGGCCUCAAGAGAGGGAGGAAGAAGCUGGUGAGGAAAAGUGGAAGGAGAAAAUAAAAUGGUUAGAAAAACACUAUAGACAAGCAUAAGAAAAAUGGAAACCAAAAAGAGACAUCGCUGCCACUGGAAAAAUGUCGGUCUCAGACAUCGUGAACACAGGAAAAGCAUUCUUCUCUGCUGCCUAUUUGCGUUUAGAUUAAUAUGGGUUUUGGGGGUUUUUGUUUUGUUUUUCCUUGAGACAAGGUCUCACAUUGUCACCCAGGCUGGAAUGCGGUAUUGGGAUCACAGCUCAUUGCAGCCUACACCUCCAGGCUCAACUGCCUCAGCCUCCCAACUGUCUGGGACUACAGACGUGCACCACUGUACCCGGCUAAUUUUUUGAUUUUUUUGUAAAGAUAAGGUCUCACUAUGCUGCCCAGGUUGGUCUCAAACUCCUGAUCUCAAGAGAUCCUCCCACCUCAGCCUCCCAAAGUGCCAGGAUUACAGGUGUGAGCUGCCAUGCCUGGCGACUUUAUGGUUUUAACAUGAAAUAAGACCAAUAUGGCUUUAACAUGAAAUAAAAAUCAUUAACUUCAGUUCAGCUCAAUAUGCCAGUCUUGGUUAUGAUAGACUACUGGUUCAGGCCCUAUUUAAAUCUGUGGAAAAUAUCCAUGUGUCUUCCUCUCUGAAUUGUUAUAAUGACUUCGAUGAAUUGUUGAAUAUUCAAAUGCUUGCUAAAUGCUAGAACAUCCUAUAAAUGUAAGAGUCAUCAUCGUCUCUUGAUUUUAUCAUCAUUGAUGUUUAACAUGCUUCUCUUUCACUUUCCCAGUCUCCUUUGGACUAUCUUUGGAAGAUUUUUUUUUUCUUUUUUUCCCCCAUUAAUUGUAGAGUAUUUGGGCACAUAUGCUUUUCUCAGAGGAGCAACUGAAGUUUAACCUGUAAAUCUGUAACUAAGCAAGGCCAGAUAACUUUCAUCUGCCUUAGUUAUUAUCAUUAAAAAUAAAAGUUGGAACCUAACUCAAUUCAAAUAUCCUG
rnacentral:lncRNA from 1 species